GGAUGUAAGGGCUAUCUGGCUGCAACAUCUGUCACCCCACUGAUCGCCAGGGUUGGCUAGGAGGGUGUCCCCUUCCUCCCUCACCGCUCCAUGUGCGUCCCUCCCGAAGCUGUGCGCUUGGUCAAAGAGGACGAACAUCCCCGACAGAGGAGGACUGGUCUUCGGUCAAGGGUAUACAAGUAACUGCACUCACCUGCUAGAACCUCCAUUCAAGCUCUCAAAAAAUUGGAAAAAAAAAUUAGCUGCUUGGGAGGCUGAGGUGGCAGCCUGAGCCCAGAGAGGUCGAGUGAGCCAUGAUUGUGUCACUGCGCUCCAGCCU
rnacentral:snRNA from 1 species